GUCCGGAGUAAAUUCCUAUCCGAAACUUUUACCGGGGGAGACUAUUCAAUAAGGUUAUAACAAAACUACCAUUAAAGACGUCUCAGUGUCGAUAAAGCAGAAUAUAAACUAUAUUUUUCGACAAAUCGAGACGUCAUCACACUGCUUCGUUUCGGGUUACCACCGUACUUCAGGGACAAGACACAUUUAUGCUUUUCAACCAUGCAAGGUUUAAGUAAAGUUGAUAGAUAUUGUUGUUUAUUUUUUAUAUCUCGAAGGCAAUUGAUAAUUUCUAUAUAAAUCAUUGAAGGAUGGAAACAAGUUACAGAUACCGAUAGUGGCGAUGCUGAAGUCUACGUGCCGGAGAAAUAGCCAGGGAAUAGCUGGAACGAGAACUAUCAUCAUCUUUAAAAAAUGGUAUAUAUUUAAAUAAUGCAAAUUGAAAAAUAAAUCAGAAUUAGAGUACGCAACGCGCAUCUGCGCGAUUUGCCAUGUACUGUGUAUAUAAGACUAAGUAGUGAUAUGUUGUUUCCUUUCAAUUACCGCCGUGAAAAGGUAUGCUGAAAAUGAUAAAAAUAUAUUUAUCGAUGUCGCGGAUGUCGAUUAUGGUCGGCA